AGGACGAACGCUGGCGGCGUGCUUAACACAUGCAAGUCGAGCGGAAAGGCCCUUCGGGGUACUCGAGCGGCGAACGGGUGAGUAACACGUGAGUAACCUGCCCCUAGCUCUGGGAUAGCUCCGGGAAACCGGGAUUAAUACCAGAUACGACCACUUUAGACAUCUGUCGUGGUGGAAAGGAUUCCGGCUAGGGAUGGGCUCGCGGCCUAUCAGCUUGUUGGUGGGGUAACGGCCUACCAAAGGCGACGACGGGUA
rnacentral:rRNA from 1 species